UCGCACGAGAAAGCGGGAGCAAUCUCGCAAGUAAAGUGGCGUACGGGUGAGUAACACGUGGAUCAUCUGCCCUGGAGUGGGGAAUAACGCUGGGAAACCGGCGCUAAUACCGCAUAUACCCGAGAGGGGAAAGCAGCAAUGCGCUCGAGGAGGAGUCCGCGGCCGAUUAGCUAGUUGGCAGGGUAAAAGCCUACCAAGGCUGUGAUCGGUAGCCGGCCUGAGAGGGCACACGGCCACACUGGCACUGAAACACGGGCCAGACUCCUACGGGAGGCAGCAGUGGGGAAUCUUGCACAAUGGGGGAAACCCUGAUGCAGCGACGCCGCGUGAGCGAUGAAGCCCUUCGGGGUGUAAAGCUCUUUCGGCAGGGAAGAUAAUGACGGUACCUGCAGAAGCAGCUGCGGCUAACUACGUGCCAGCAGCCGCGGUAAUACGUAGGCAGCAAGCGUUGUUCGGAGUUACUGGGCGUAAAGGGUGUGUAGGUGGCGCGCUAAGUUCCGUGUGAAAUCUCCCGGCUCAACCGGGAGGGUGCGCGGAAAACUGGCGGGCUAGAGUACGGGAUGGGAGAGUAGAAUUCCUGGUGUAGCGGUGAAAUGCGUAGAUAUCAGGAGGAAUACCGGUGGUGUAGACGGCUCUCUGGACCGUAACUGACACUGAAACACGAAAGCGUGGGUAGCAAACAGGAUUAGAUACCCUGGUAGUCCACGCCCUAAACGAUGCAUAUUUGGUGU
rnacentral:rRNA from 1 species